rnacentral:lncRNA from 1 species
UAAUAUCGUUGCGUGGUAAAAUAGUGGUAUUCAUUAUCAUUCUGGCUAGUAUAAUCAUGAAGCAACAUCCUCGUAAGUAAUAUGAUUGUGAAUAAUUAAAAUGCAAGACAAUAUUAUAACGUGUAAUUUCCUUGCAAUUCAUAUUAUAUUCGGAGGAUUGAAUUAUUUAAUAAUGAAGAGACAUACCCUGAAAGAGAAACUUGAAGGGACCCUCUUUUAUUACUGUUCCAGAAUUUCACCCAUUAUAGUUUAGCCUCUGGUUUGCUACAAGAUGUCCCUGGACGAAUGGCUAGUGAUGUCCUCUGCUAGUCACAAAUCCACUUUAAACGGGAAGCUAUCUUGACAAAGAUCCUACAUGUUAUUUAUGCGGCCAAAACUUACAAAAAUAACGUACCCAUGCGGUUGGAGAAACUUAUAAAGAAGUUGAUCGAGGUUUUAGGAUAUUUUAAAGAUGAUGAUUCAUGGGGAGGUUCUAUGGAUCCUGGGAGCGAACACUGUUUUAUAUUUCUGUUUUUAUCUCUUUAAAAAUAUUGUUAUUGAGUGCAUAAUUUAUUUUGUUUCACCUCCUUUAAAAAAAAAAGACAUACCGUGAAAGACCCCAUAAUACCCCCGGCCCAACUUUAAUUAGAGAACGAGGUAAGAUUGUAAAUCAUACGAUAUGGAGGCUUUAGUAUAUUAGCAAUGUUUAGCUAACAUGUUAACUUUUUCAACAAGUCACCCAGUCAUGCAGUAUUAUGGGAUAUUACAAGAGGUCCUAAUCUCUCAGAAAAACAGCGGUGAAAGAAUUUAACCUGUUUUGUGCCCCAGCAGUUCAGGCCCUCUACCCGUGGAACCAGUUGUAUUUUGGGAUAUUAAAGAGGUUCCUUGAUACUUAGCAAAGCGGUAGCUGGAAAAUUUAAUUGGCCUUGAGGCCCAGUACUUCACCCGUACAACCUGAGAGCUUGAUUUUAUUUUUGGAUAUUAGAAGGGAUCCAUGAUGCUCUAGAAAGUGGCUGCAACGGCAUUUUUUUAUAUUAUUCAAUAGUUUGAUUGUUCAACUAUAUUAUAAAUCCAAUGAAAUUCCACACGAUAAUAUGAUCUUGCAAUAAAAAUUACUCACAAUCAUAUUGCUUCCAUUGAGAUUACUUCUAAAUGAUAUUACCCAAAAUAAUUUUGUCUCACAAUGAUAAAAUACACCACGAUUUUAUUACACAACGAUAUUAGCACAAACGAUUUUGUUCACAAACUUUUUACCAUAAUCAUUUCACCGGACACUGUAUAUUUGGUAUAAAAGUUGUAACAAAUACAAGCAGAUUAUUAUACCAUUCAUGAGCACACCCACUCAUAUUUACACUUUAAACAUAGAUUUUUUCUUUCUAGAAUUAAAGAAAAUAAUAACAGAUUUGCGAAAUAAAAAAAACUGCUGAGGUUACCAACUACAAAAAAAAAAAACACUCUCACGCUUGGAAAUAUAUAACCUUUACAGCUUUAGAGAUAACAAAGGCAAUUUUGAGCGUGAGCAAGGGUUAGGGCAAAGAUAAUUUUGUGGAGCUCUUUUCCGAUUUAAUGAAGAACCCUUUUGUCAAAUGACUUUUUUUAGAAGAAAAACAAAAUGUUUUUAUUUAAUUAUCAAAAGACAUUUUUAAUGGAAAAUAUAUGGUCGAUUUUUAGUUAAGCAAUGGGCAAAGUAGAACUAUGCCUCAUUGCCCUAUGGACCAUUUCCUAUUAUCUGUAUUGUCAAAAAUCAACCUAAAGAUUCAACAACAAACAAUACGGGAAAUUGGGAAGGGUCCAUAGGGUAAUGAGGCAUAGUUCUACAUUGCCCAUUGCUUAACUAAAAAUUGACCUAUUGUUUGUAUUUGAUUUUAAAAAAAGAUCAAGCCUUUUUUUAUAUAAUUUUUUUUUUCUUCUAUCUAUUGUUAGAGGAACUUUUUUAAAAGGGCAAUCCUAUUUCUAUUUUGAAGGUAUUUUUACUAAAUAUUUUACUCUCAUUGUUAAUGUAUUUAAAUUUUACAAAACUAUAUCCAACUCAGUGCUCAGUUAGGAGCGGAGUAUGAGGAAAGCCCCCCUAUAACAUAUCCUGUAGGUUAAAUUUGGUAGAAUAAAAAUAUAGUAAUUUUGAUAGACGACACAUUUGCUGAACAAGAUCACUAGAGAUGUGUAAAUUGUCUAAAUCUUCGUGAGCGUAAGUCAUAUGUAUAUGGUUCUAACUUUAAUUGACGACAUAUCUAUUGACAGAAAUUACUAUACAAAAUUUAGUGAUUCGUACACAAUAGUCUGUUAGAAUUUCAAAAAAAGGUAAAAAUAAUUAAUAAGAGCACUAAUAUCUUGCUAACCAUUAGUGGAGCAUGAACGCGGACUAAACAAAUAUAUUAUCCACAAGGUAGUCUAACAAUCUGUAGCUUGGGAUGUAACAUAAAUUUUUCACUGUGCCUGCAAUAUGGCGCCACUCUCUGCCACAAAGCUACCAAACUAAAAUAAAUAAGCAAUGGGCAUGCCCCAUUUUCAAAAUAGAAUGGAAUAAUUAAUAAAUUCCUUCUUUAGCAAUAAACAAUAGCGUUAAUUGAUAGCAUUUUAGACCUGU